GUGGUUGGUAGGGGGUUACACAAAGUACUAUGUCUGACUUCACAUGGAUACGCAAUCAAUAUUAAUCCCGAAUAGUUUAAACAAUAUGUUCUUCAUAAAAAACAGGCCUUCAUUGCUUUUCAUACUGUGAGUAAGCAGUCACACACACACAAAAGACAAAUACUCUGACACUCUACAAAUUAACUCUGUCAGUUUCCAGAGUAUUCACCAAAACAAUGGUGUUAACUGCUUCUGGCAUAUUUUGACCAGCAGAAAGUAGUAAAUUAGCACAUUUUUCUCUUUAGGGCAGUGUGGAUAUAUUAGU
rnacentral:lncRNA from 1 species